rnacentral:rRNA from 1 species
CGUCUAUAUACGUAUAGCAUAUCAAUAAGCGGAGGAAAAGAAACUAACUAGGAUUCCCUCAGUAACGGCGAGUGAAGCGGGAAGAGCUCAAAUUUGAAAUCUUCAAGGUUCUACCUUGACGAAUUGUAGUUUAAAGAAGUGUUUUCUGUUGGAGUUUUGGUAAAAGUUCUUUGGAAUAGGACAUCAUAGAGGGUGAGAAUCCCGUAUUUGACCAUUAUUUCCAACUUUGUGAUACACUUUCAAAGAGUCGGAUUGUUUGGGAAUGCAGUCCAAAAUGGGUGGUAAAUUUCAUCUAAAGCUAAAUACUGGCGAGAGACCGAUAGCGAACAAGUACCGUGAGGGAAAGAUGAAAAGAACUUUGAAAAGAGAGUUAAACAGUACGUGAAAUUGUCAAAAGGGAAGCGUUUGACACCAGUGUUGUUUUCUCGAAAAUCAAUUAAAAAUGGCAGGAUUUUGUGUUGUAUUGACUUUAUCAGCUUUCUGCACUUUUUUCUUGUCUUUUUUAAUGCACUUUUCGUUUAACAAGUCAACAUCAAUUUCUUUUGCUGUAAAAGAGUCAUUGGAAGGUGGCUUUCUUUUCGGAGAAAGUGUUUAUAGCCUUUGGACUUCUGCAGUCGGAGAGAUUGAGGUCUGCAGCGUAGAUCCUUCGGGGUUAAAUGCAUUUGUGCUAAGUUAUAGCCUUUCAUAGACAACUUGUUGACUAUGAUCAGUCAUGUAGCUUACUCGCUUAUGUUAUUUUACCUACGCUUAGGAUGUUGAUCUGUAGUGCGUGCGC